GGUGGUUCUCCAGGCUAGCGAAAGUAAGUGGGGUGAUCUUGUGCCUUUCUUUCCUCAGUGCUCUCGCCCCUGAAACGUUUUGCUGCCAUUGCGCUUGGAAGCUGCCUGUAACUUCGAAACCAUCUCGACAGCUGGAGAGUGGAGUCCCACCCCCACAAAGAUGAUCAUUAAGUCAUGCACACCUUUCUGAGGAAAAGUUCUUGAACCAUUUCACCUGAUGAAAAGAACUUGAAAGCUUGUAUCACAUAUGCAUCACUUCUGCAACAUUAAAGUACAGUAGUCCUAAUACAGUAAAAGGAUCACUUACAGCAAAAUAAGUUGGCCAAUUCUUAGUGAAGAUUCCAGAAGGACACCUAUAUCUACAUUCAGGCUGAAAAAAGCCCAAGCCAGUAGAUGGGCGGGCAUUUUACAUACACUGGAGCA